rnacentral:rRNA from 1 species
GACGAACGCUGGCGGCGUGCCUAAUACACGCAAGUUGAGCGCUGAAGGUUGGUACUUGUACCAACUGGAUGAGCAGCGAACGGGUGAGUAACGCGUGGGGAAUCUGCCUUUGAGCGGGGGACAACAUUUGGAAACGAAUGCUAAUACCGCAUAAAAACUUUAAACACAAGUUUUAAGUUUGAAAGAUGCAAUUGCAUCACUCAAAGAUGAUCCCGCGUUGUAUUAGCUAGUUGGUGAGGUAAAGGCUCACCAAGGCGAUGAUACAUAGCCGACCUGAGAGGGUGAUCGGCCACAUUGGGACUGAGACACGGCCCAAACUCCUACGGGAGGCAGCAGUAGGGAAUCUUCGGCAAUGGACGAAAGUCUGACCGAGCAACGCCGCGUGAGUGAAGAAGGUUUUCGGAUCGUAAAACUCUGUUGGUAGAGAAGAACGUUGGUGAGAGUGGAAAGCUCAUCAAGUGACGGUAACUACCCAGAAAGGGACGGCUAACUACGU